rnacentral:lncRNA from 1 species
CCCAAACAAGGGCACUCCGUUCAUCCACCUCUGGCCUGCUCGCCUCCCUACCUCUGAGGAAGCACAGUUCCCGCUCAGCCCAGUCAAAACUGUUCGCUGCUCUGGCACCCCAAUGGUGGAACAAGCUCCCUCACGACGCCAGGACAGCGGAGUCAAUCACCACCUUCCGGAGACACCUGAAACCCCACCUCUUCAAGGAAUACCUGGGUUAGGAUAAGUCCUCCUGGCUCCAGAGACAUGUUCAUGGAAUCAAUUGGCAGCUUGCCUCCGGAGACAGGAGAGAUUGACUUGUUUCACUUGAUGUCAGUGAGGGGAUCUAGAGGAGAGGAGAGAAUUACAGCUUGGCAUUGUUUCAAUUGGCAGGAUGCAGAAGAAAAAGAUACAAUGGGAUGUUUCACCCAACUAGAGCAAAAGCUAAGUGCAGAUCUCUUUACCAGCCACUGGGUGUUAAAAGGGCUAUUGCUAAACAAGACCUGCACACGUCCUUUCCCCUAACCACAAUGAAAUAUUCCUAACAGUACAUGCUGUACUUUAUCAGCUGUUCAGCACUGUGCUGUAAUUAGCUCAUUAAAUCUUCAGGGGCACUCCAAUAGUAGCACACUAAGCCAUACCUCUGGGCUAAAGGGUGUCACUGUGUCGCAGAGAGCUGAGCUGAGCACCGGUGCUUGGCUGCCCUGGAUGCCGGCAGCCCUGCGAUCUAUCAGCCCACCGUUUCCAGUGUUCAGUACCGUGGCAGAGGCAGACACACUGCCCUGAGUGGAAGAAUGAGGACAAAUAACCCUGCUGUACAUAGACUUUCAUCACCAAACAGUGGCAUGCUGCACAGAGUCAGAAAAAGUCAGUACUCCCUGUUCACCCAUGACUGCGUGGCCAUGCACACCUCCAACUCAAUCAUCAAGUUUGCAGACGACACAGAAGUAGUAGGCUUGAUUACCAACAACGACAAGACAGCCUACAGGGAGGAGAUGCACAAUUGAGAGCAUCCUGUCGAAGUGUAUCACCGCCAGGUACGGCAACUGCAACGACAACAACCACAGGGCUCUCCAGAGGGUGGUGUGGUCUGCACAACGCUUCACCGGGGGCAAACUACCUGCCCUCCAGGACACCUACACCACCCGAUGUCACAGGAAGGCCAAAAAGAUCAACAAGAACAACAACCACCCGAGCCACUGCCUGUUCACCCGCUAUUGUCCAAAAGGCAAGAACAGACAAGGGAAAUAUCACAGAGCUGAAAAGUUGAAAAUGGUAAACCACAACCAUAGACAACUAAGGAAUGGAGUAUGCAAUGGAUACCUACAUUUAAUGCAUGUUAGAACACUCUGUCUAGCCAAUCCCCAUCACCUCCUCUGCAGUUCAUCUCACUGCAGGCACAAAAUGCCAAGCUCAUGAACAUCAACAACCCCUGCAGGAUGAAAAAUAAGCCUUGAUUUUAGAGAUGUGAGACAGAAGGAUUAGCAGCCUGUCUGCACCUUGAAGAGA